rnacentral:pre_miRNA from 1 species
UUUAAGUACAGUCAUAGUUUUCCGCGUCCAACUUUGAUCGUCUGUCUUAUUUAAUUUUUUUUUAAAAAAAUAAAAACAUAAGUCAUAAGUAAAUUACUAUUCAUAUUUUAUCAUCUCAUAACAAGAAAAAUACUAAUUUAAAAAAAUUAUAAAUAAGACGGACGAUCAAAGUUGAGCACGAAAACU